CCGCCCACAAGGGACAGCUUCGGCCCUCAGCUCAUUGCCUUGAGUGGUGCUGACCGUGUCCUUCAGAAGAAAAACAUCUCAGUUGCCAUGGAAUCCUUACCUCAUUCCCUUAAAUCAGAACUCCUUGCCCAGAUAAGUGGAAGUGACCAGUGGAAAAGAUUUUUCAGGUAAGGGAGACAGUGCAUGAAUGCAACAAGGAAUUCUGGGAGCAGCUAGAAACUUAACUUAUCAGUUGCUGGAAGGAAUGUAAGACUGCUUGAGAUUCUUGGUUGUGGGACUUCAGGACUAAGAGUGAGAGAGGCAGUUCUCUUGUUUGGGGAACUUCAAAGCCAUGCUGUGCUAUAAAGAAUUGUGAAAUCAUUUCACCGGAAUGAUUUUCCUGGAAAAUAUCCUGGCCUGAUUUCUUUUUACUGUACCCCAAAUUUAGGAGGGGGGGCGGAAAUCCCCUUUCUCAAGAAGGUAGACUAUUGGAAAAGAAAGAAAAAAUGUUUUACUUAUAGGAGACAUUUAUUUACUAAGGUAUUUUCCUUAGCCCUGAGCAGAAUAAGAUUUUCUCUUGGCUUGAAUUUAAAUGCAGUGUAUGUUGUCAUAUUUCCUACUAGUUGAAGGUGUUUUUCUGUUUUUUGUUUUAUUUUUAAUCUGACAGGAGGAUAGGGAGGGAAGCUAUUCACCAGUGGCUAUUUGAAGUUUAGUGAUUGCCCAGAAAGGAAAAAAAACAAAACAAAACAACCCACAACAAAAUACUCUAAUGUUAUUUUUGAGCAGUGAAUAUUUUUCACUCUGCUAAGAAAUUACUGCAAUUUGACACAUGAAAUCUAAGGCAUAGAUAAGUGUGAUCUUGAAAAAUUGUCUUUUGUUGGCUUGAUGGUAACAAAAAAUAGUCAUGUCGAUGCUGGAAGUAUUUCCCCAUGGUUUAGUGAAAAUGCAUCCUGUGAAGCAGAAAACCUUACACCACUUUCUCCACACUGUUACAACAGGAAAGUGGGGCUGACUGCUAGAAAUGAUGGGGGUGGCCAACCUGCCUGUCGGGUAAGGCAGAUCAUGGUUAUCACUUCUCGAAAGAAAAUUAUUUCAAAUGACUUCAAAUCUGAAGAUGAAUUACACGGUCUGACAUACUUAAAAUUCUGCCUUUUUAUGAAAGAUAUCAAAUUACCCAAUUAGUGUUCUUUUUCUGGUUUUAUUUUCAGGAAGAAUCCAUUUGUCCUCCAUGUAAUACUGAACACAUUUGAAUAACUAUAUAUGUGUGUGUGUGUGUGUGUGUGUGUGUGUGUGUGUGUGUAUUUAAGUUUUCACUUACCAAUGGACAUACUAAGUACAGAGGCGCCUGAGUGGCUCCGUCGGUUAAACAUCUGACUUCAGCUCAGGUCAUGAUCUCACGGUUUGGGGGUUCAAGCCCCGUGUUGGGCUCUGUGCUGACAACUCAGAGCCUGGAGCCUGCUUCGGAUUCUAUGUGUCUCUCUCUCUCUCUCUCUGCCCCUCCCCAGCUCACGCUCUGUCUCUCUCUCUCCUUCAAAAAUAAAUAAACAAUUUAAAAAAAUUUGUAAGGAAAUACUAAGUACAAAUCUCUGAAUGUAACUUCUGCCUUUGAUAACUCUCCCAUGCAAAUUACUGAUGUUCAGGGUCACUGUAUACACUGGCAUUCUCCAGAGGUGACAUAAUAAUGAUUUUUGAUCCUGCACCCCUGGACCUCAGAGCUGAAGUGAAUGAUGAGGAACCAACUUUGAGGAUGGUCUCUCUGCAUCCUGGAUCUGAAGGUAAAGGACACAACAUCCCCUUUUAGACUUGCAGAACUUUGAUGACAGCGUAGUUAUGCGUGUGCGUGUGGUGAGAAGGGGUGUUUCUAUCUAGUUUUUUUUUUCCUAUCGCUAAGAAAUUUGGUGUUAUUUUAUUUUUAAUUUUUUUUAUUUGAGUUUAGUUGACACACAAUGUUGCAUUAGUUUCAGGUGUACAACAUAGUGAUUCAACUCCUCUUAUAGGUUGUGCUGUGCUCACCAGAAGCAUAUCUACCGUGUGUCACAGUAAAACAUGAUUACAAUAUCAUUGCCCAUGUUUCCUAUGCUGUGCCUUUUAUUCCUGUGACUUAUUCAUUCCAUAACUGGACCCCUGGGUCUCCCCCUCCCCUUCACCCAUUUUGCCCAUCCCCCCACGGCCUCCCCUCUGGCCACCAUUAGUUUGUUCUCGAUAUUUAUAGGUCUGAUUCUGCUUUUUGUUCGUUGAUUCGUUUGUUUUGUUGUUUAGAUUCCACAUAUGGCAGCCUGAGUGUCCACUGAUAGACAAACGGAGAAGGAAGAUGGGGUAUACACACACACACACACCCCCUGGGAUAUUGCGUGCCAUGGCAAAGGACAAACUGCUGCCAUUUCUGACACCAUGGGUGGACUUAGGAAGUAUUACACUAAAUGAAAUAAAUCAGACCAAAAGAGAUAAAUUUUUGUCCAGUUUUCCUGCACAGAGCCAGUUCUUGGGAAAGUAAGCUCCCCACAGUGCCGGUUGGAGCCUGGCUUGGCGAGAAAGGAAGCACUGAAUGAGUAUGUUCCUGUGACACGGGCCCGAAAAGCAGACAGCUGAAUCCUGUCUUGGCUCCUUGAACAGUGCUCUAAACUCCUGGCAACCCUCAAGCAUCAGAAUGAAAACAUCUCACGAACUGCUCUUCUGUUCUUUGCCGUAUUAUCGACUCCAUUCCGUUUGGAAAUAAUGUCAGAAAAUCUCAAGCCUUUCCACUUCCUGUUAGAUGAACUUAGCAAGUGUCCCUAAGCAAUGGAAGAAACAGUCUCCAGAAAGCUGCUGGGUUGUGAGUAGAGAGCCGGUCGGGGGCCAUGUGUAUGAUGAUGGGGCAUUAUCGAGUUGUUGGGUUUCGUUUUCUGAGACAGAAAGAGGAGUAGAAACAGUCCAUUCAACUUUUGUAAUUUCAGAAAAAUACGUGAGAUAAAUGAAGCAAAAAGUUUUCAUGCGUUUCCUGUCCAUACUGUGAUCAGGGAAAAGUAACAUGACAGUCGUGAGAGGGAGAAAUCAGGAGAGGAGCACAAACAAAAAAGGAGUAAACACAGAUGCAGAGAAACACUCGGACCGGGACCCAGAAAGAAGAAGAUGGACACACACAAAAGUGGGGUUGCCAGAAUUUACUGCCCACAAAAAUAAACAAAAACUGGUUUCACUCUGUCCUGACAGUGAAAACACAGAUGUGACAGUCUUCUCUCUCCG
rnacentral:lncRNA from 1 species